AUGGCUGGGUCAAAUGGUAUUUCUAGUUCUAGAUCCCUGAGGAAUCACCACACUGACUUCCACAAUGGUUGAACUAGUUUACAGUCCCACCAACAGUGUAAAGUGUUUUCCCCUACCUCAUUACCCCACACUCUCUGGCAAGAAGAUGGACUUUGUUUUGCUAAUCCUAACAACUAUUUGGACUUUUACUGGUCCAGGUUCUGUUUGUGCAUUUCAAACAAAAGGGUACAUCAAAUGAUGAAUGGGAAUAUAAAAUAUUUAUCAUAGGUAGUCAAAUGUUUAAAGAUACACAUAUUUGUCAGUGAGUAAAUUCUCAUAUUAAAAUUAAACUUUUACUGAAUGAUUGUGUAUAAAGGACCU
rnacentral:lncRNA from 10 species